AAGAUUUCAAGGCCUUGAAAUGAAAUAACUAUCUCACUUUACAACAUUUAGUUGCCAACACCGAUGACAUUCAAGAAAAGAAGAAGAGGUAGAAUUCGUUGGACGAUGUUACAAACACAAGGUUUUGGGCACAAUAACCUCCAGUUAGCAGUACAAAGAUAAGAAUAGAAUGAACACUGCUUCAGAACCUACACCACAGGAUGAUUGUGGCAUUUGCAGCCCCACAAGCAAGAAGUUACACAAAAGGGAGGGAGAGUCUGUUGGUUAUUCAUUCCUUUGUUCACAAGAUGUUGAACCCAAAAACUAAUCGAGGAUCCAGAAUGGCGUUUUCUGCAGCUUACCACAGUACCAUCCCAUUAAACAAUUUGAUGCACAUCGACGAAAUUCUCACUGGCACACCCGACUACUAGAGCUUGCAUCACCGAUUGAAACUGUGGCAAAAGACUUCGCCCAUGCCCUGGCAUUCAUGGCCCCUCCUUGUAAAUUGCUUCUCUUGCAAGGAUCCUUGAAAUGGCUGAAUAACUGAAUUGCUCCUUUCAGGCACGUCAAAGGUCGUUCCCACAAGGUUCCCAAUCUCAUGUUCCUGAGGUGCCUUCGCCAAA
rnacentral:misc_RNA from 1 species